ACUUCAAAAGCAUUGACCAACUGCAGAUUUGGUUCCCAUCUGAUUCAGUCUUUCUCCGGAUCAGCCAUGCUUCUAUAAAAGCAGCAUCACUGCAUCAUCUGUCUCGGCAGUUAACGAACUCAGGAUCCACAGAAAUGGGUCUCCUUUUAAAGUUUCUUGCUUUCAUCUUGAUCCACCAGUUGCUUGUAUCAGCGGUCUUAUCUGAUGGUUCGAUUCGCUCACACCAUCUUCCUCACGAGUUGAGGUCGUUGCCUAUUAGGGCCACAAGAAGGUCUCCUCCACCACCUCCUCGGGUGAAUGCUCCUUACCAUCUCAAAAGUCCUCCUCCUAGACCAAUGGGCCCACCGCCGCCACUGCUGCCACCUCCGCCACCAUGCAGCUAGACAGAUUGAUGCGAUCACUUUACCAAUUCCUGCAAUUUUUCCUCAUGUUUGCUCUCAAUGUUUGUGACUCGAUUUCUAGAUUGUUUGGUUCUAUAUUGGAAUGUGUACUUGAAUGUAAGAGAACGUAGAUGAAUAAAAGCAGUUCACGGCCCUGUCAUUCUUCGAA